UACAGAGGGUGCAAGCGUUAAUCGGAAUUACUGGGCGUAAAGCGUGCGUAGACGGUUAUGUAAGUCGGGUGUGGAAGCCCCGGGCUCAACCUGGGAAUUGCAUUCGAGACUGUGUAGCUAGGGUACGGAAGAGGGAAGCGGAAUUUCAGGUGUAGCGGUGAAAUGCGUAGAUAUCUGAAGGAACACCAGUGGCGAAAGCGACUUCCUGGUCCAGUACCGACGUUCAGGCACGAAAGCGUGGGGAGCAAACAGG
rnacentral:rRNA from 1 species